rnacentral:lncRNA from 1 species
CUCGCUGCUCCGUCUUCCUAACUACAUCCGCUUGCCUCCUCUCUGCCUCAAUUCGCUAAAUCUUGUCGCCGGAAUUUUGCUCGGCCACGAUCCGAUCACUGUCGCCGGAAGCCGUCCUCCGGCCACCCCCUCGCCGUGAAACUGCGCCGGCGGAUCUUGGCCAGGAUCUGGUCGGCAUCGCGGAUGCGGUAUUAAUUGCAACAGAUUUGUGGAUGCUAUGAUGGCCGUGCGCCGUUCAGCUGUUGACUUGUAAGAACACCGCAGCCACCUCUUCUGAUUUGAGUGGUUCAUACAGGUAUCGUGACUUCCUCAAAAAUUUUAUGCAAAUAUGAAAAUAUUUAUGUCAUGCUUAAAGAAUAUUUGAUGAUGAAUCAAGUCACGAUAAAAUAAAUAAUAAUUACAUAAAUUUUUUGAAUAAGACGAAUGGUCAAACGUUGGAUAAAAAGUUAACGGCGUCAUACAUUAAAAUAUGGAGGGAGUAUAUUGAGGAGCCCAACUUUUGUAUAUUUGCCAUUGUCUGUAUUUUUCACAUGUGGGAGACUGGUGAGUAUGACAGUUUUCCUGGCAUGUCAUGUAAUAAUCGGAAUUCGGAAGAUUUGUUAUUAGGAGAGGGAUGCUCAAUCUCCUUUCUAAUAUUAGGCUUUUACCGUUGUUUGUGUGCAAUCUUCAGCCUUUUUCAGACUAGUUAUAACCAUACCAUUUUGUAUAUCAAAAUUUAUGACUAAAUUGCACUAAAUAUUCGUGAUUUAGUGCAUUGUGAUGCUGUGACUGAAUCUGAAAAUUUGGCAGCGAGAAUGAAUAUCAAGUAAUGUUGUGCAUAUCCCCGCAGCCUGGACAUGAUCCAACUAUCACAGUGAGCUCGGCCCAACUAAACUUGGGCUGACUUGGGCAGCUAUCCAUAUUUUCAUGGGUUGACUUGGGCUUACAAAUUUCUCCCAAAACGAUGCCCAAAGCUUUAAUGGGCCAUAAAGUGGCGAUCCAGUUGAGCACGAAUAAAUCGCGUGGUUGAGGUUCGGAGUUUAAUUCGCCAACCCCUGUCUAUGCAAAACUUUUCCAUUGUUUGUUUCAAAAAAAAAAAAAACAUUUCCAUUGUUUGGAGGCAAUAAGAAGAGCUCCAUGAUACAAAUGAUUUCAUCUGAGCACGUAAGGUUGCUUCUACAUAAGGUUUUGUUCCCAUCACACUAUCUCACGAAAGCAAAUUCAAGCUGAUAUAAAACUUCAUUUGCUGAAAACAUCUGAAAAAUGUAAGCGUGGUACUGCAGGUCUGCACCUGCCAUCGGCCAUAUUCGAAUGAACGCAUUGCAGUUGUAAUCCUCGGCGAUGUUGUUGUAUGCAUGAUCUGCCGUGGUGAUAUUAAUGGUUUCUUCUACCUUAUCUAUGAUGUUCAGCACAGCAGCAGUCAACAGUUGAUGACGGAGAUGAUGAAGCCUCCCCUAGCCGUCGCCACCCACUAGAGCUCAGCUAUCUCGGGGCCUUACAGGAGAGAGAGAAAACUGUGGUGGCGGCCGUGUUUUUUUUUUACCUUUUCCACAUGACUAAUAUGAGGGCCCUAUGGUUUUUCUGAUUUCUUCCUAGAAUAUAUAAUUAUCACGUAAACGUCACGUCAGUAUGUGUGUGGACCGAGUCAAAAUGAUAAGUUAAACAAAACCGCUCAAAAAGACCACCGAGAGAGAGUUGAUUUGUACUGAUUUUGAUAAUUAGGGAAUGCUUUUAUACUCAGUUUUGUAAUUGAGGGAUACUAAUCGAUCACAGCAUAUAAGUCGAGGGAUGCAAACACACUUAUGCCCAUCGUUGUGGUCAUAUAUAUUGCGCUCUCUUGAUACUUAAUAAACACGUUAGUUUCUUAAUUAUUUCGUUGGCAACUUUUUGUGACAAGUCGACAAACAUGAUUGUAACAUCUAAACGUCUUGCGGUGAUAUAGAGUCACCAAUCACCUCGAUUUAGCCAAACUUUAGCAGUUUUCCCCUAUUUCAUCCCUAGGUGCUAAAUUUAGGUGUAAAUACAUUUGUCAUGAAUUAUAAAACCCACUAAGAACAUAAAUGCUCUUGGAACUUGAAAGAAAGAAUACCACUUGGCUCUUUUUUUCGCCCCCAUGUAGUUAAGCUGGCAAUUAAUCGUCUUUUUUGUUCGUACUUCAUUUGAAAUAAUGUGUAGGAUCAACAAAACACACAUACAUAAGAUAAAUUCAUUUAUCCAGACAGUAAUUGACAACAUGACGCUGAUACACACACCGAGACUGAAUCGACAAACGCAACCUGCAGGUGCUAGGCAUGCACCGUGAAUUAUUGUCUGCAUAAUAUUUGGCUCUGGUCGAUCGAUCGAUGGCCGGGCGAUGAGAUAUGCUAUAUUUAUAUGGGGCAACUGAAUGAACAAUCUAGCCAGCUCUGUCGUCAAUAAGCCACGCUUACCUAUCAAAGCACGGCGAGCGCGCUGACGGCGACGACGAGCGAGGCGACAGAGGCGUAGACGAAGAACCAGUUGCCGGCGGCGCCGGCACGGCGGGGGUCGUCGGAGACCCAGACGAAAGCGAUAACCUGGGCCACGCCGGCGAGGAAGGUCACCACUGCAAGUGCAAGUGCAAGGUAGGAGUAAUAGGCAGCGCCGUUAUUACCCAAGUCAGCUUGCAGCGGCGUGGUGGUGGUAGCCAAGGUGAUUGCCGCGGAAAUGGUGGCUAAGCCGAGCACCCACAGCGCCGCGUCCACGUUGGCCUCCGCUUCGUCCCGCCGAGUAACAGCCACCACCAUAUCUUGAUUAAUUUCGAAGACUAAUUUGAGAUCGAAGCUAGAAUUAAGGCCCAAAGAAAUAAAUACUAGAGUUUGCUUCUAUCAAAUUUGCUAGAGUUUCCCCCUUCUUCAAGUAUUGCAUCGAUCUUCCUCGAAGAGAUAUGUAUAUAUAUAAUCACGUAUUACUACUAGCUGCCAUGAGUUUUCUGUGGGUCGUCGUUGCACAAAAUCACGGUGCGUUUGACUGACUCGGUAUCGGGGUGUACCCGGGCUCUACUCGACUCAUCUGACCGACACGGCGGGGCCCACCAGACGUGGGCCCGCUUGUCAUUCGGAUGGUGCAUAACAUACACCGCAGCGACACCGGCGGUUGGGACAUGAAGACAGCUGCGUAUAGGCGUCGUGAGUGGUGUUUCUGUGGACGGGGAGGGGUGGAGGUUUACUGUACAGCUAGCAUCCGCUAAGGGCAGGUACGCGGCGAAACGCAGCCUGCAGAUAUUUUAUGUACUUCGUUGGGCAGACAGGAUCGAGUAGGACCGUAUGCAGUGACGCAGCCAAAAAGAACCGCCUUCGGCCGCGUUCAGACUGCUCAUCUCAUAUGUAUAGUUGGACCGGAACGGAGGCUAUGUUUAGAUUCCAAUUUUUUUCUUUAAACUUUUAACUUUUCUGUCAUAUCGAACUUUUCUACAUACAUAAAUUUUCAACUUUUCCGUUACAUCGUUCCAAUUUUAGCGUGGAACUAAACACAGCCGGAGUGUCGGAGUCACCAAUUAACCACGUGAAGCCCAUAAUAAUUUGGCCACGUUAGGGAUCGCAAUAUACAUGUUAGGGUGAAUCAGGGCUGCGGUCCAAUAUCGCGUGAACAGUCGAGGGUUCCAUUUUCCCCAAAUUCUAGUGGCACGCAGGCUAUAUCGUAAAUUGUAAUGGUAUUUAUCUAAAAUGAUUAACCCAGACAAAAACAUUUAGUUGGGCUAGAAUGGAUCUAGUUGCAAACUACGUGGACCCCAUAAGGAAUAAGUUCACUUGAGGUCCAUUAACUUUACACUGAAUUUAAUUUUUAUCCUUGAACCGAAAAACCAGAUAUAACAGGUCCCUAACUUACAAAACCAGUGCAAACGAGUUUCCUCGGCAGUAUUGUCCUCGAUUUUAGCUGACGCGGCGCCUACGUGGCUCUUUUGACUAGGUCUUCGUUCCACAUGACGCUAAUGUGGCAGUAUGACCUAAAUAAAAAAAUAAAAAGUGGGCCCACAUGUUAGUUACAUCAUAAGAUUAAAAAAUGGUGGGACCCACAUGUCAAUAAUACAACGUUAUCUUCCACCUCCCCCACACUCUCCCCUCUGUUCCCCGAGAGGGAGAAGAAGAGGAGUGCCUCGAUCGCAUCCCCACCCUAUUAGCUAGGUUUCUGUUCCGCCUCUGCCUUUGCCUCUACUUCUCCUCCUCCUCACCGUCGCCGCCGCAGAAUCGAUGGAGUGGCAGGCGCAGCUGACAAGGAGAAGGACAACAGCCGGCAAUCGACAGGGAGCAGCGCGACUGGCGGUAGGCAGGAGCUAUGUGACGGCUGUGACGUCCGAGCUCAACCGCCGCUGGGAGGUCUAGGAGCCUCUGCUCCCACAUCGCCGCUGCGGGCCUCCUCCGUUUUUGGACUUGGACUUGGAAGAGCUCGUCGGCCUCUCAGCCCUCCUCGCUGCCUCCUCGUCCCCCUUGCCGGCCUCCCAACCUCCUCCCUCUCUGUGCGUGCUUGCCGGCUUCCCUGCCGCCUCCUCUCAGCGCGCUCUCACUGGCAUCCUCAUCCCCCAGCCAGUCUGCGCCAUUGCUCCCUCUCUGCGAGUGCUGAGAAGAUAGAGAGGGUGAGCUGGAGAAAGUGGGAUCCACUGACAUGUGGGUCCCACUAUUUAUUUUAUCCUUUUGUUUGACUGACAUGUGGGUCCCAUAUAUUUUGGUUUAAUUUUUAAAAUUUUACUCCUAGUGCCACGUGGGUGCCACGUCAGCCAAAACCGAUGACAAUAUAAUACUGUUAAGGGACCUUGUUCGCACUGGUUUUGUACGUUAGGGGGGCCAUUGUAUCUGGUUUUUGGGCUCAAGGAUGAAAAUCGAAUUCGGUAUAAAGUUAAGGGGCCUCAAUUGAACUUAUUGCACCCCAUAAUAAUUGCCGUUAGGGAUCGCAACACAGGUUCGGGCCAGCAGAGGGUGAACCAUCGCGUGGGCCGCAGCCCAAUAUAUAUACAGGUCGUGUACUCACUGGGGGUGGUUUUCAUGGGUUUGUAUUUCUGUACAUUAGAAGAGUUGUUACGAGUGGCAUGGGCAAAUUCCAUUGUAAGGUGUUUAUAGUUCCUUGCACGUGCACGAUAUCUAGUAGUUAUAAAUUACUAAUUUCUAUGCCAACAUUUAUAUUAAACCGAGUUCACAAAUUUCUGUUGGUUGCGCUGAAAAAUGUACUGGUUGCAUUGCAAAACUGCCGAUGUGUAGCAAAACAUCCAGGAGUUGAUGCUUUAUGCUGCCGUGAUCGAUUCUGAAAGCUUGGCAGCAAGAGAUAGGGUAAAUGUUGUGCGUAUUUUUUCCUGCAGCUGUGUACUAGUAGGCUCUUAAGAGUUAAGUUCGGGGCUAAUCUCUAAUAUCGAAUUCUAUGCGGAUUCCCGUGCAAAUAGCACCUCCACGUGGCGCGGCCAGAUUCACGGAUUCGCUCCCACGCACAGCCGUCCGAUUGCAUUUCAACGGUGAGAGAUCGUUGUGGUGGAGCCUGUUGUAAUAUACGAGAAUCGAGGGGUUUUCUUACAAAAGCACUCAAUCCCCCCAUCAUCCGUCUCCUCUCCAGCGUCACCGCCGCCUGAUUCAGCACAUCCGCCGCGUCACCGCCGCUGACCUUCGCCCUGACCUCCUCCCCGCUGCACCGAAGCCUCUCUAUCCCCUGCGCCUCCACAUGUCGCGGCUACGCGGGCAUCUCGUUGGAUCUAUCAUCGGCGGCGAGGAGGCGUGGCGAUGGUGCCGAGGUUCAUCGGCCGGUGGAGGAACAUCGUCGACUUGAGGACCGUGCCCAGGUUCCGCAUGGUCCCCAACUACUGCCACCCCGUGGGAGCCGCCGAGGGGGGCAACAACUAUGGCUUUCAGAUGAUAGUUUGAUCAUGCACACAAUGCGUUCGACGAAAUGUCCAUGGGCAUUCAUGGGUGUGGCUGGCGCCCUGAUGAUGCUCAAUCCUACCUUCCUCGUUGGAUUACUUUGGUGUUGGUCGAAGCAUUGGCCGACCAAGGAAUGUGCUGCCAGGAGUUACAAUGGUGGACUCACGUCUUAGAGGGCAGUUCCCUUCUGACUCAUAUGGUGACAUACCGUGGCGUGCCGUGAAAACCUGAGAUUGGCAAAUGGCUUACUAAGUGUGAUGCCGGCGUGUCUUUGUCACUGACCAAUUCGGAUUGCUUGAGCUUUCCCUGGAUUAAUUUGGUUGUUCUUCUGAAACGGUUUAUAGGUGCAAAGGGGUGCGAGCAAGACUACAAUGGACAAGGUGUGUGCAACUAUGAGCUGGGAUAAUGGAGAUGCUUUCAUGGAUAUGUUGGUAAGUACUACUUUGUCAGCUCAAUUAAUGUGUUAAUCUUGUUCACACUUGAUUAAUGAAAUUGCGAUUUCACAUGGAAUUUAACAAGGUUGGGUUUUAAUCACACUCCAUUUUUUAGCACCAUCCAAAAAAUCUUUAAGAUUGUUUUAGUAAUUUAUCUACUCCGUACAUAAUAUCAAGAUAAAUAGGCAUAGUUUAUGAACCUUUGAAUUCUGCACCUGUUCCAUACUAAGAAGCAAAUAAGAAAGAAACAAAUAAAUACUCCAGUUGGUUAGUGUGUUUGCUCAUAUAUGCCAUUCUUAAGAAAAACAUCAGUUUAUAUAUUUAUUUAUGUCCUAUUUAGUUUGCUGUCUAUCAACUCUUCAAAAAUUAUGGAUAAACUGUGCUACUUCAAUUCUUUGCUUUUGAUCAAAUGACAGCCCUUGCUCUUUCCAACAACUCUAUUGACAAAGAUGUUAAACAUAUUUUGCCCAACACUACAACUUUUGCUCCUUAGUUCUGGAAAUGAUAUUGUAUACUCUAUAAACCAAGCUAAUUCUUCAUUUGACUUAUGGAUAUACCAUCAUAGAAAUAGUAUAAGGAGACAGUUGCAUAUUAUUACUACACUUAUUUUUUGAAUAUAUAUUUCAUCAUUGUACAUAUAUAUAUUUAGACAGCUCAAUUAUAUAUCUUUCUGACAAUUGCUAACACAAUAUUUAUUAUAACAAAGUUUGCUUGGAAAUAACAUAAUAAAGGAUAUAAUGAGGCAAUAAGAACUGUGCGUGGAGGGCCGGAAGAUGAUGUCUGUCAUGGCCGGCAAGAUGGACGAGCUCUGGAUAGGGCGUAUGGAGUGGUGCGUGCUGGAAUGUAACAAGAACGCCAUCAACUUCUACGAGGGAAUGGGCGAGCCACGCAGGUGUGCUCCCGUAAUGGCACAUAUACAGACUCACUGGCGCUGCACACUGGAAAGUACAAUGGGACUAAGAGAAGGGCAAUGGGGCGAAAUAGAUCGGUGGUUGAUUCUUAGUUGUCCAGUCUCAAGUAAUAAAGAAACCGGAGAUGUGUGAUUUAGGGUAUUGGAUAAGUUCGUGAUGUCUUAGCUUGAUGUUCUUUCAAAUGUAGUACACAAUCUUUGCAGAAGGUUAAGGGAAAAUAAACAAAUUCUUAAAUUAUAGGAAAAGGCAAAAAAAGAUAAUUCAGGAGAGUCACAAGCCCCAUUGCAUAACAAGCCCAAAACUGAAUGUUGGAGACACUCUAGAUCAAAACGUUAGCAAGCGGAAAUGGUAUACUGUUAUACCUAAUUUUAUAAAAUUAUUUUAUCUCUAACCUUUUUACAUUUCCUUUUUACCUUGUUGCAAUUACUGACAAUCACCCAAUUACUGGACUUUGCAGAUGACAUCGAAAAAAUCCUAGGAAACACUAACAAGCAUCCAUUCAGGACAAUACAUUUUUUUUCAUGCUAGCAAUGGUGUUGUUUUUUUCUUGCACAAUUUUCAUCUCAAGUCCCAACGACUAUUUAUUUAAUUCGUUAUUAAGGAAAAAAUUGAUGGAUGCUUUAUCUAGACCUCUAUGUACACUAAUAUCAAACAAAUCUAAGCUAUAGAUAAAUUAGAAUUAGAUUGGCCUAAUAUCAAUUGGGCGUGGCAAAGACGCGCCAUUAUUUCUAGUACUCAUGUUAACCUGUGCAAAGCUGACAACCAUUAUGGUUGGGAAUAAGUUCACUUUAGGUCCCUAAAUUUGUACCUAGUCUGAUUUUCAUCCUCAGUAUAGAAAAUCGGAUACAACGCAUCCCUCAACUUACAAAACCGUGCAGAAAAGGUCCCUCAGCAGUAUUAUGCCCGGUUUUAAACGAUGUGGCGCCUACGUGGCUCCCUUUGACUAGGUCCUCGUCCCACGUGGCAUUGACGUGGCGCUCAUGUGGCAAUUGGAUCCCGGGAAAAUAAUAAAAAACCGUGGGACCCACAUGUCAGCCACAUAAAAACAAUAAGAAAAGGUGGGGCCCAUGUGGUCCCACAUGUCAGCCCCCUCUCCUCUCUAUCCCCCCCCACUCUCUCGGUCUCGUACAGAACGGCGAGCGGUGGUGCAGAGGGGAGCGGUGGGCGGACGACGGCAGGCGACGGACGAGGAAGGAGGCGGCGGGUGGCCAGGCGAGGAGGGAGGCGGCGCGGCGGCCGGAAGAGGAAGGAGGCGACACGCGGCGGCCGGGCAAGGAGGGGCGGUGCGCGGCGGCUGGGCAUCGCGGGCGGAGCGGCCGACGGCGUGGAGCUGCCGCGCUCGCUAGAAAAGGGAUGGCAGGCUCCGGUUCCUGGUGCGGAGCCCGCAAUCGUGCUCAUCUUCAACGCCUCCGCUCGUCUGCCGUCAGCGUCCUCUCCGUCUUCGCCUUCGAUGUCGAGGGCGUAGAUGUCCGCCUUCGACGGUUGUCAUCGUUGCCGUCAGGAGGAGGAAGAGGCAGAGGAAAAGGUCGCCGUCAGCGGUUGUCGUCGUUGCCGCGAUGUCCAGCCACCGCGUGCCGUCCCUCCUCGCCCGGCCGCCGCGCGCCGCCUCCCUCCUCGCCCGGCUGCCACGAGCUGCCCCUCCUCGGGGCGGAGCUAGCACAAAAUGAAGGGGGGUUCCACUUGUUUGCUUUACUCUAGUUUGAAUCAAAUUUAGCUUAAUACGAGUGCCUAACUUUGAACUGACAGAGUAUAUAUAUGGUGAAAAUAGACAAACUAUAGCUAAAAUUUUGUUUGAACCGGGUUCCUGGGCACCCCCCUAGCUAUACAUAGCUCCGCCCCCUGCCUCCUCGCUCGGCCUUCGCCCACUGCUCCCCUCUACGCCGCCGCUCGCCGCUCUGUACGAGACUGGGAGAGAGAGAGAGGGGGGGGAUAGAGAGGAGAGGGGGCUGACAUGUGGGACCACAUGGGCCCCACCUUUUCUUAUUGUUUUUGUGUGGCUGACAUGUGGGUCCCAUGGUUUACUAUUAUUUUUCUGGGAUUCAAUUGCCACAUAAGCACCACGUCAAUGCCACGUGGGACGAGGACAUAGUCAAAGGGAGCCACGUAGGCGCCACGUCAUCCAAAACCGGGCAUAGUACUGCCGAGGGACCUUUUCUGUACGGUUUUGUAAGUUGAGGAAUGCGUUGUAUUCGGUUUUUUAGACUGAGUAUGAAAAUUAGACUGGGGGACAAAUUGAGGGACCCAAAGUGAUUCCUUAUGGUUGUGAUAGGCUGACAGAAAUGACGCUGUGGGGAAGGCCGGAGAAACCCACAACUUGAAGCCCAGCAUUGGGCCCUGGACACGGCCAUACAGUCCACGCAGGCCCAUCGAAAAUUCUAGUUUCAAGUCAGUCGCAACCAUUGGUUGCGAUCCAAUUUUAUGUGGGCUGCGACGUCUCCCGGAUGCCUGGCCCAAGCGAGCGCGGAAUCAUUUGGGUAGCUUUGUGCAGUUCUUUUUCUUCCGGUGAUCUGUUUGCGUCUUGAUGCGAUAUUCUCCACAAUCUCCACUACUCAGUAUAAGCUAGUUUGCUCUAUAUUUUGAAUUUUCCAUGUUUCAGCAUUUCAAAUGUGCAAUAGAAUAAUUAAAAAUGUUUCAUCGAAUGGAAGCUGUUGCCUGUGAAAUUGUCAUAUUGUGCUUCAUGAUUAUGGUUUUUCUGCAAUAUUUUUUUUCCGGAUAUGCCUUAUACGUUUGCAUGGGAGGAGAAAAUAUGAUAGGUAGGCCUACCAAUUUUUAAAAUAUAAUUGUUGAAUGUUGUGCGCAAGUUAUGUAGGACCAAAACCACUUUGGAUUGAGAGGGGGUGGAGGCUUAUUUGGUUUGAGCAGUUGGGUGUGUCAAUGUGUCUUGUAUUCAAGUUCAUGGCUUAAUUAGGUCGAUCGCAGUAGUUUAGGGGUUAAUUCAGGCUUUUCUCUUAUAAUAAAAUAAUAUGUUGGGUGUUCAGUAGUUAAUUGUUAUGUUUUUGUGGUUCGCUUAAUCUCCAUAAGAAAGUAUUAGAGGGAUUAAUUCCACAUCAUAAUAGCAGUUGGGUGAAGGAUUGAACAAACAAGACCAAUUCUUGGAAGGAAACAAUACCACAGGCAAUCUUAUUGGUCAAGAAAGAAAGAGAUAAUUAUCGGUAUAAAAACUAAUUUGAAUCCUAUUUAAAGAUACGCCCUCGAGCUCUACCAAAGUCAAAAAUAAAAGGAGGAGAGAAAGAGAGAGCGUGUGUUAAUUUAUUCCCGUCUUCACGUACAAUCUCUCAGCUGAUCGGUCGAUCAGAAGAAAAAGGAGGCCGGCAGAAAAGCCCCCGGCCGGGGAUGACGUCACCAACGUGUCAUCCUACCGGUGGUGGACUGUGGAGUGUGGACGAAACGAUUUGAGAGAACCGAAGUGGAGUAAAAUACUAUGUGGGCCAUGUAUUUAUGGGAAAUUCGCGGUCAGAAAAGCCGGGGAAAUGGCGACCCCAACGUGUGCCCCGAACGAAAAAGGAAAAACACGGGACGGGUCGACGUGUGCCCGAAGGCCGAACGUAUAAAAAAAGCCGGUGUUGAAUCAAACGGCAGAAUUAUGCGAGUUCGCAGAAGCUUCCUUGUUUAAAGACAUGAUCGUCAUUUGGGCUUUUCGGUUAAGGCCAUGUUUACUUCCAAAAACUUUUUCCCAAAAACAUCAUUUUAAAUCUUUAGACACAUAUAUGGAGUAUUAAAUAUAGAUAAAUUAAAAAACUAAUUACACAGUUAAGAGAAAAAUCAUAAGAUGAAUCUUUUGAGCCUAAUUAGUCCAUGAUUAGCCAUAAGUGCUACAGUAAUCCACAUGUGCUAGUGACGGAUUAAUUAAACUCAAAAGAUGCGUUUUGCGGUUUACUUAUGAAAUUAGUUUUUUCAUUCGUGUCAAAACCCCUUCCGACAUCCGGUCAAACGUCCGACUUGACACCCAAAAAUUUUCUUUUCGCGAACUAAACAGACCCUAAGAGCAAGUUUAGGGGGUGUUUGGGAGAGAAGGGCUAAACCCCUUAAUAGUAUACUCCAAAUCUUAUAUAACCAAUCUAUCGCGUUCAAACUUGCAGUCGAAUGGCUGACCUGUACAUGAAGCACAGUCCAGUGACAGACAGACUACCGAAACAGCCCAUAAUUAGUUAUCCUACGUGCGGCAGAGUACUAAGAGUAUCUGGAAUGACCGAAUGACAAGUGGGCCCAGAACAGAAAGGUCCCGCCGUGUCAGUGGGAGACUGGGAGGCCCAUGCCCAUGUGCGACUUUCGUCUGACUUUCUUCUGACCUUUUUUUUAAGUGUGUGCACGCUCGCGUCCUCAAGCAAAAUUUUCUACUGACAUUUCUUGUUUGUGUUUGCGUUGUCAUCUAUAUAUAUUUCUUCCUCCGCCUAUCUUCUGAGCAUAUGUUUUGCACCUCCAGCUCCAGCAACCAAGCCACCCCAACUCCGACGGUCCCUCCCACAGGUCUCUCUCUCUCCCCCUCUUCUGUAGUUCACGAGGAGAAGAUCGGGCAGCCACGAAUCGGUCGAGAGAUUUAAUGGCGGCGGCAAAGCUACUGUUGGGUGAUGCUCGCCGCGAACCGGAGGCUAAGAUCGCCUCCGCUCUGGGCGCGCUCGGCGUCGCCGCCAUCUCCAUGGCCACCACUUUGGCCGCAGAGUUCGAGCCGUCGCCGGGCGGCCUCCGCACAACCACCUACAACCACCUCGCUGUCGCGGGGCUCGCAGGGACCUUCCUUGGCGGGGUGGCCCUGGUCGGUGCUUCAGUCUGGGUGUCCGACAACCCAGCUGCCCGCCGUGCAGCCGGAAAGAAGUUGCUCUACUUCGCCGCCCCGCCGCUCCUCGCCGCGGUCGUUCUAUCGGUGGCGGCGCUGCUCUGGUAAGUGCCGCAAAGGCUCAUGUACUACAAGCCCCCCCUGUCCGGCCGCAUCACUAUCUUGUUGGAGCUGUAUUGUCAUCGUGUAAUAGUGCGUGUUUCUUCUAGUUCUAGUCCAUUGUGUGUAUCACCAAUGUAUGAUCACGUCUCCUUCUGUUCUUGGUCUGUCAAAGUGUUGUUCGUAUGAUGGCCGGCUUAAUCGACGAGUGUUUUGUUAAUUAUGAGUUCAUAUCUCGCAAUUUCAAGCAAAUGGGGAGCUAUUUAGUACUAGUUUUCAGCUUAAUUACAUUUAGGGAAGAGUGGAUUCGGAGUACUCCAUGCAUAUCGGCGCCGCCGCCGGCGACAGCAUGGCGGGCGUUUCUCAUCAAUUGCGCCACCGCUGCCGCCCCCAUAGCAGUACUACUACUGUCUCGGUGGCGCUGGGGGACUGCGUUGCCCUGGAGGCGGCAGAGUGGUGGCGUCUCUCCACGCCGCUCGCCGUCGCCGCCGACGCCGACGCUGAAUAGUUCUGGAAGUUUGCCUUGUCGGCCGUCGUGUCCUUCUGCCGCUAAAAGCCCAUCUUUUUCUCCUUUUUCUUUUCUUUUCUUUUUUUUUUUGGGGCAACUGUUAGAAGAGAGGGAAGGGUGGGCCAUAUUUAAGUGGGGCCCACAUGCCGUAUCAUAUCCAUGACCUUUGUCCUUGCGUUGCCGCCGGCGGCGGCGGCUACGGCCAUGGAGAUCUCACGCGACCAUUUGCCGGUGAGGUCGGCUGCUCCGCCUCCGCCUCGGCAUCUACGCCUGAUUGGAUCCCCACCCCUAUCUCCACUGACUGUGCUAUCGCGUUUCCGGCGGUGGUUGAUCGAGGCGGUAGCCCGUGCGGCGCGCGAGAUUCCGCCCGUCCACGGAUUUCCGGUCGCCAUCGCGGGGAUUCGUCUUCUCCGGCCAACCCCUCGCUGCGCGAUCCUGCGCCGCCCGUCCUCGGGCAGGAUCUGGUCGGGGUCGCUUGUGGUAGGUGUUGGGGGGGCACUUGGGUUUGGAGGACAGCAUCGUUGAUGUGCUUUGACUUUGAGUUCCUUGCUAAUUUAGUUAUGCUGACUGUUCCCAUAAUCCCUAAAAUCCCAGCAGUUGCGUUGUGUGGUAGGUUAUGUAAAGCGCAUUCCUGUGAUGAAAAAUAGACCCUGGGAGACAUAUAAUCACUUGUAUCAAGCGAUCCACACACUAGGCCCCCAAAUAUUGUCGUAGAUACCAUUUUCUCUUCAGUAUGCUGCUUAAAAUGCAAAUUGUAAGCUUUUCGCUGUGCUGUCCAGCUACAUCUAGUUCCUUAUGUUUAAAGACUGAUAUUGGUCUUUGCCUCUUUGGUUGUGUGUGAUGUGCUUCUUUUUAAUCGCAACACUUGAUCUUUACUAUCGGUGCAUAUUUAGUUCCAGUAUGUCCUUUUAGUUAAGUUGCUGAAGCAUUGAGCAUCUUGUCAUGUUGAUCUUCUUAUGAGUGGUUCAAGAUGGUUUGUUCUGUUUUAAUGGAAGUAAAAAAUGGGGCCUGUCCCCUCCUAAUGGGAAGAGAAAAGGAGAUGUAUUUCAGCAACCAUGUGUUAUAGUAUAAUCCAAAUAGUUCGCUAAGCUACGUUAUAUCCUGUUCUGAGUAUUUAUUUGAUUUGCUGCAAAGUUAUUAAAUUUAUGGCAUUGUUAUACAUGAUUUGUACUUGAUUAUAUGUUGCUAUUGGUGAUUCAUGUAAUUAGAGCUGAAUGGGAUUUUUGCUACAUACACAUUGCUUCUUUCAACAACCCUUAUGCAAACAAAAUUAAAGGACUGGUUUCUCUGCUGUGCUGAUUUCCAUUGUUCCCUAGCUGAAGCUUAAGUAAUUGCAAAAUUUGUAGGAACUCAUCUGUUCUUUUGCUCUUACAAUAAAUGUGAGGUUUGUAUUCGAGCUACACUCAUGCUAUGUGCAUGCGCUCUGUCUAUCUGAACCAAUAGACUUUUGUAAAUACAUUUGCACAAGGCAUUGAGGUCAACUAAAAUUCUACUAUGCCCAAUGGUGCAGCCAUAUUUCAUACAUGAAUAUGGCUAUCGCUUUGUCUGAUAGGUUAUGGACUGUGAACUCUAUGUGUUUAUUUUGAUGUGGAAUGGCCUCAGGGCAACGCAGGAUAACUCAUACAUGCAAUCCAUACACUAGGUCCUGAAAUAUUUUCUUAAUGCCCUUUUCUCUUUUCACUAUACUCUACUUGUUAAACUUCUAAGAAAAGGCUUAUCCCUCUACCGUUCUAUUACAUCUAUAAUUCAUUUGUUUUGAUGUCAAAAGCAGUGUAUUGAGCUGUAUAUCUUGUUGGAGCAAUUUUACAUUCCUUGAGGAGGUACCAUGGGGUACCAAAAAAUUUAAUGUAAAAUUUGGUACCUGAUAGUACCUAGGUAUCAAGAGAUACUAAAUUUACAAUAGAAAAAAUAGUACCUCAUGGUACCUCCUCAAGGACUGUAAAAUUACUCAUUUUGUUGUGAUAUACUCUAGCUCAUUGUAGUUAGUGUUUUGACUUAUUGCUAAACCCUUGGGAGCAUCUCAUAAUGUUUAACUCUGAUGAAUUGUUUGAGAUGACUUUUUUUUUUGUCUAGAUGAAUAGUGGCAUCGCAACCCCAGGCAAGAGCACUAGGGCCUAGAGGUAUUCCUAGAAACUUAGGAGCAAAUGGACAAAGAUGUAGCAGGACCAGAGCAGAGGACAUUUGGCAGCUUUGAAAUACCAUAAUGCAUCUCGUAAAAAAUAUUCAACUUUUAAAAUUUGUACUAUGUAAUAGACUAAUAGGUGGUUAAAUUCUGUUCUUCUGAGUGAUAGAAUUGCAGAUUGUAAAUCAAUAUCUACUUGUACAAAAGAUGAGUAAAUCUUUUGCUCAUUCUUAUCUACUCCUUUUUUAUUUGUCAAAAUGAAUAGGAAUAGCAGGGUGCCUUUAAAGUAUAAUCGAAAGAGUUGGUAAAUUUUAAUAUACUUCUGAAAGAAUCAUCAUCCUUUUGUCAUUAUCUUUUUCAUGUAUUGAACAACAGAUUUGCACAUAUGUAUUUUUACCAUCAGUAACAGCUCUUUAUUAACGGAUAGUAUAUUGUUCUGCUUUUAUGUAGGGGGAUGUUGAGUUGUAAGAAGACCAGAUGCAUCUGCUCUGAUUUUAGUGGCAUGUAUAACUAUAACCUGUCAAAGAGCAGCAAAAGAAAUGCCUCGUAGCUGUGUGAUACAUAACUUUGCCAGGAUAUCUCUCUGUUUAUGCACACAGACUGCUAUGGCAUUUUUAACCGUUUGCUCAGUUGCUCUUACGUGCAUUUCUGCUGGCAUAAGAUGGUGGCAUGGUGGAGGUUCUGUUGUUAAACCCUGGUAUCAGGACUUGAUCGAGCAAUUUGGUAUGUUCGGUGAAAAUUCAUGCUCAUUUGAGUGAUUGUACAGUACUCCGAAGUUGGUGUUUUCUAUGCUCCGGUAAUUGUGGAUCACUGGUAUAAUGAGGAAAUCAACCUAACGUAUAAUUGCCAUGGUCUGUAUUUGUGUGUAUGUGGAGACUGGUGUGUGUACUAAUUUUCUGGAAUGUCAUUUAAUCAGAAGAGUUGUUUAGAAGAGGCAUAGGCAAAUUCUCUUGUAAGGCUUAUGUAGUUCGAGUGUUUAACAUGGUUAUAACAGUAGUGUUUUCUAUGACGACAUUUAUGAUUAAACUGUGUCUACAAUUCCUGCCUUUUGUGCAGAAAAAGAAAAGCACUGAUAAAACAUCCUAGAGUUGAGUGCAUUGCGCUGCUGCGACUGAUUCUAAAAGCUUGACAGCAAGAGUUAGAAUAGAGCAAUAUUCUGCAUAAUUUUCCUGCAUCUGUGAAUUUUGCUACUCUUGUACUCCCUCCGUCCCAAAAUAUAACAAUUUUUACUUAGAUGGGAUGUAUCAUAUUACUACGAAUCUAGAUAUGAGACAUGUCCAAAUUCAUAGUAGUAGGAUAUGUCCCAUCUUAAAAAAAUAUAUAUUAUAUUUUGGGAGGGAGAGAGUAAAACAUGUGCUCGGGUGUGCAAACCUGACAGCCAUUAUGGCUCUGAUAACUCAUGCUCCCUCCGUCUCACGAUAUAAGGGAUUUUCAGUUUUUGCUUGUAACGUUUGACCACUCGUCUUAUUCAAAUUUUUUUUGCAAAUAUAAAAAAUAAAAAGUUGUGCUUAAAGUACUAUAGAUAAUAAAGUAAGUCACAAAUAAAAUAAUUAAUAAUUUCAAAAAAAUUUGAAUAAGAUGAGUGGUCAAACGUUACAAGCAAAAACUCAAAAUCUCUUAUAUUAUGGGACGGAGGGGGUAGUUGCUAUGCCUAUAUUUUGUCGGGUGAGCUGGUGGUGGUACGUUUGGUUUAGGGUUUAGAGCUGACUCUGGUGGAGACCCUUUCGGGACGUUGCAUCAGCUACAGCCUACAGGGUUGCGCGUUUGUUGGGCCGAAUAUUGAAGUGCGUGGGCCGUGGGCCGUGGCCAGGACGGCGGAUGGAUCAUCCUCGUGACGUAUCUCUUCCCCUCGACCAACAAUUAACGAGUUGCGGGUGGCGGCGUUGAAGCAGCUGGACUUUUUUUUUUUUUUUGCUAUAUAUAGGGCAUGUUUGGCACAAGCUUCAGCUCCACCUCUCUUAGAGCUGGAGCUCAGCCAAACAGUUUUAGCUCCACCUAAAAUGGGAGCAGAGCUGGGUGGAGCUCUCACAAAAUAAACUAGAGUUGUGGAGCUGGGUUUAGACAGCUCCACAACUCCACUCCAGACCCAACUCCUAGAGCUAAAUUUAGGAGUUGGAGCUCUAUCAAACAGGCCCAUAAAGUCAAUUUUGCUAUAUCUCACUCGAAAGAUUUCUUUUAUCUCUCACUCAAAUUUACAGUGUAUUUUCUUGUAAUUUAUGAAAUUUACAUGGUAACUUUUGUUUUGAAAUUUAUAUUGGAUUUGGUCUUUUUCUCGAAGAUAUGGUAAUUUAGUAUCCAUUAUGAUGUUUCUUAGUUGCUUUUUGCUUUUUACUAUGUCUAUUGGAUUUUAAUCUAAAAAUUUAAAAUAUGUGUGAAAAGAUUUAUAGCUACUCCCAUAUAAAGUUCUAUUUUUCUAACUUGCUGAUCUUGAGAUUUUUUUUCAUCGAAAUUUAUUUUUCAACAUUUGCUUUUAGAUCGCUAAGAACACAUAUAAAAGUUUUAUUUACAAAUUAUUUUUUGCUUGCAAAUAUGUCGGGCCCUUUUUUUGUUUUUGUUUUUAUCUUUAUAAUAUUCGUUGCAGUUUGCAAAACACGGGAAUUUAGAUAGUUAUGUAAAAGAUGUCAAAGAGACAUGAUGCGGUCUGACAGUCCAACGUAAGGAAGCUUCGUAGCGCAACUAUGGGGAUGUUCAUAAAUCUAGGUGAAAAGUUUUACCGUGUCACAUCGGAUAUAUGAGCACAUAUUUAAAUUAUUAAACAUAGUCUAAUAAUAAAACAACCUAUAGAUUCCGUCCGUAAACUGCGAGACGAAUUUAUUAAGCCUAAUUAAUCCAUCAAUAGUAAAUGUUUACUGUAGCACUACAUUAUCAAAUCAUGGAGCAAUUAAGCUUAAAAGAUUUGUCUCGUAAACUAGUCGCAAUUUGUGCCAUUAGUUAUUUUUUAGCCUAUAUUUAAUAUUUUAUGCAGGUAUUUAAACGUUCGAUGUGACAGGGCGAAAAAUUAUAAGGCGGGAUCUAAACAUGGCCUAUAUCAGUUGGCAUCGCACGUUUACAUCCUCGAGCAGUAGCACUGCAUGUCUGCAUGGCAGCUGGAGCAUCACUCGCCGGCAUCUACGUGCGCUUGAGCGAAUGCGUCCGGCAAUAUUAUGGAGUAAAAGAUUGCUUAUGUUGCCCCUCUUUGAUCAAAAAAUAGUUGGGUGUUUGGCUUAGGUAAAGUUGGUUUUAAAUUUUAGAAAUAAUUUUAAGGACCUUUCGGAAAACACAAGUACACAGAACAACCAGAACACAAGUAGAAAAGGCCACAUGAACCAGCUUUUAUAGAAAAAAACCAAAACAGGGUCACAACCACUUGAACGUUCACUGGAGAGGAGAGAUUCCCCAUCUAAAUUUCCAUUAAGGUCCUGUUUAGUUUUAAAGUUUUUUUUUUCCAAACUUUCAAUUUUUCAUCGCAUCAAACCUUUCAUACACCACUGGUGGACAAACCAUCUUUGGUCGGUCGACCAAAUCCCACAAUAGCCCUGGUUCCAUUAAAACCGGGACUAAAAACGAUUUUUAGUCCCGGUUAAAAAAAUUUUGAUCUUUAGUCCCGGUUGGUAACACCAACCGGAAUUAAAGAUGAUUUUUAGUCCCGGUUCAUCCCCUGUCAGAUGUAUGUUAGGGGGUCGAGGAUCUUUAGUCCCGGUUUAUACUACCAACCGGGACUAAAGAUUACCACUUUAGUCCCGGUUGGUAAAGAUCGAUUGAUCUUUACUCCCGGUUGGUGAUACCAACCGGGACUAAAGAUCGAUCUUUACUCCCGGUUGUAGUUAUCAACCGGGAGUAAAUAUUUCUCUCCCACAUCUGAUCGGUUAAGUCCAAACAGAUAGUUAGAUAAGAUUGGAAAUCCCCUCUAUUCCUCUUCUCAGAUCCAAUCCUCUUCCUCCUCCUCUCCCCUCUCUUCCUUCCCUCCUCCCCUUCCUCUUCUCUUCCUCCCCUCUCCUUCCUCCCAUCAGCCGGCCCUUCCUCCUCCCCUCUACUCCCUCUUCCAUCAGCCGGCCGACGGCGGGCGGUGGCGGCGGGCAGGAGGCGGGUGGCGGCGGCGCGGCCGCACGCGUGAAGGCGGGCGGCGGGCGGUGGGCGCGCGCGUGGAGGCUGGCGGCCGGCGGGCGGCGGCGGUGGGCAGGCGGCCGGCGGCGGCGGCUGCUGCGCGCGGGCAGUCGGCUGCUCGUUUGCUUUUUUUUUUUUGUAAUUUGUGUUUCAUUGGAUCUAUAAUUUUUUAGAUGUUGUGAUUCAUUGCAUCACAUGGAUCUGAGAUGUAUAAUUUGUAUAAUCUGUGAUGUAUUUAAUUUGUGUGUAGUUUUUUAGGAUUUGUGAUGUAUUUGAUCUGUGUGUAGGAUUUGUGAUGUAUUUGAUCUUAAUAUUUAGGAUGUUGAUUUGGAGAUAUGCAUCCCAUUUGAUUCGGGAGAAAAUACAGGGAUUAACACUAGCCAUUAGCAAAUCAACAAUAAAAUAAAAUAAAAAAGAUCUCGAGGUCUUUAGUCACCAACCGGGACUAAAGAUUCCCCCUCUUUACUCCCGGUUGGUGUUACCAACCAGGACUAAAGAUCGAUCUUUAGUCCCGGAUUCGUAGUCCCGGUUAGAAAACCGGGACUACAAAGGGUUCUAAACCGGGAGUAAAAAGCAUUUUUCCACCAGUGCACACACAAUUUUUCUAUCACAUCGUACCAAUUUCAACCAAACUUCCAAACUUCAGUGUGAACUAAACACAGUCUAAAUAAAGAACAAGAGAUUACACAGCAGUAAUUCUAAAAAAAAAUUACACAGCAGGAAGUUUUCUAGCGGAGUUUAGCGAAUCUGCCAUUACAUAAAAUCAAAUACAAGAAGAUAAAUAUAAAGAGGUGACGUGUGAUUAAUUGAGUUUUACUCCCUCCAUUCCAAAAUAUAAGACACAACCACUCUAAACUCAAAGACCAAAAAACCAUUAUUAUCACCUCUUUGUUUGAAUAAUCUUAACUAAUACAAUGCAUGCACCCAAUAGAAUUAAGCAUCUUGAUUUAAAAACAAUAAUUUAGAAGAGAGAAUAUGCUAUUAAUUGUCAUGCAUACAUGCACGCCUUAUAUUAUGAAACACCUUUAAAAAGUAGUUGCGCCCUAUAUUUUAGAACAGAGGGAGUAAUAUUUUAGAAUAACUUUCAUAUAAAAAGUUUUCGCACAAAAUACAUCGUUUAGCAAUUUGAAAAGCGUGCCAUGAAAAUCUUAAUCUUCGGCCAAGUUUAGUUCUAAAUUUUUUCUUCAAACUUUCAACUUUUUCAUCACAAACUUCCCUACACACAUAAAUUUUCAACUUUUUCAUCACAUCGUUUCAAUUUCAACCAAACUUUCAAUUUUGGCGUGAACUAAACACAACCUUCAUCUAACUCUUGUUGAAGGAAAGAACUGAAGCUUAGUACUAAACUUGUCUUGGGAAUGUAGGAAUCGAUUUUUUUAAGGGACGGAGGGAGUACGUUCACACAUUACAUUAUUGCAGCUCUGCCUCCACUGUACUCCUCCAUUGCACACCUGCCAGAAAUGCAUGUCUAGCACGCAGUCACGCACACAUGUAGUAGUACAACCAGACAUUCCAUGCAAAGUAUAAUCCCCAAACUGCCUUCGUUCGAGAUUCCAGCGACCAGCGGUACAGAGCGCGGAACUGGCGUUGACCAUAUUCCGAUCCAUUUCGAAUGCCUAAAGAUCUGACCACAGGGUGACAGGGGGGACAGAGAUCAGUUGGCCAGGAAACCACGGUGUUAACUUCUCCUGACGUGGAGUUCUCGGGCCUUGUGCGAUCUCAUGUGUUCAUCUCCGUUUUUGAGCAAGUUUAAUAGUAUAGCCAACUAGAAUCUCUAAUUUAUCUAUAGUCAAUUUAAUAGUUCAUUCAUACAAUAGUUACAUACUACACUAUUAAUACUUGAUCCCACCUAUCAUAUACAUACUGUGUUUUGAAGUCCGUGCUACAGCUGGCUACAAAUCUGUAGCCAACUGCUCUUCUCUCUCCUUAUUUACUACCUCCGUCCCAAAAUAAGUGCAGCCGUGGAUAUCCGUACCCAACGUUUGACCGUUCGUCUUAUUUGAAAAAUUUGUGAAAAAAUUAAAAAUAUUUAGUCACACAUAAAGUACUAUUCAUAUUUUAUCAUUUAAUAUCAAUAAAAAUACUAAUCAUAGAAAAUUUCAAAUAAGACGAACGGUCAAACGUUGAACGUGAAUAGUGCAAAACUGCACUUAUUUUGGGACGGAGGGAGUAUCUUCUUAGAAUAUGUUUAUAGCCGGCUUAUAGCCUGCUAUUGUACCUACUCUAACUAGCAAGUUUAUAGUGUAGCUAACUACUGACUUUGAAUAAUUUAUAGUCAAUUUAAUAGCCAAUUCAUAAAAUAGUUACAUAUAAGUAUAUACUACGUAAUUAAUAUUUGGUCACACCUAUCAUAUCAUACACAUGCAUUUAGGAGUUUGUUCUGCAGUUGGCUACAAUGUAGCCAGCUGCUCUUCUCACCAGCCAUCUUCAACCCUCCAUGUCAUCAAGUAUCCAUAACAUUUAAUACAUUGACAUAUAAGAAAAAUAUGUGAUGCACUACAAGAAAAAUACUCUGUAUAGACAUUUUUCUAGUACUGUAGAGGCACUUAUCAAAUGCCUUUACAACAAUGUAGAGGCAUUUUAAAAAAUGUCUAAUAAGUGUCUUAUGGUGAAUUGUCUCUACAAACGAAGAGACAUUUUAUAAAAUGUCUAUAAGAUGGUAGAGGCAUUUUUUAGAGACACUAAAUUGUACCGCAAACAUAUAAAACCAGUCCAAAAAAGAGAAUAAAAUAGUUUCCUUGCUUUUGAUAAGUCUUGAACUCAUGAUCUUUUGGUUAAAUCAUUUUAAUCUUCGAUACACUAACCAACUCAACUCCAUGUCAUUACUUGUAUACUUGUUCCUUUAAUUACUUAUAUUUAGUCGUUUAGUACACAUUAUCAUUCUAAAAAGUGUCUCUACAUAGUUUAAAAUGUCUCAACAAAAUGCCUUUACAUAUUAGACGCAUUUUAUAGUGCCGAAAGAAUGCCUCUACAAGAUAAAAUCUAACAAACUGAUAUAAAAAUGUCUCUAGAGUAAAAGUUUUCUAGGCAAUUUUUAAAGUGUCUCUAUAAAGUGUCUCUACACUAUAAAACUUCUGAUUGUAGAAGCAAUUUACAAAAUGCCUCUACAAAAGUGCCUCUAUACGAGGUUUUUGUUGUAGUGAUGAGAGUUAAUAAGAAGAGAGGUAAAAAGAUGAAGAUACCAUUUCUCGUAAAGAAACAUCUUUACACGAGAACCAAGAAUAAAAACAAGGGGAUUAGAUGUGAAUUUAAUUUGAAGACAUCAUCCAUUGGAUAUAUAGACUCUAUAUAUAGUGUCUAUAUGACAUGGUAAGUAUGGAAUAUAGUUUCUGCUAUUGUGUCUUCUCUAACUACUUUACCGAAUUAUUAUUGCUGGUCGCCAACGCGCGGAUCAUUAUUAUUGAUAUUGUAUACUACUCCAUAUUUUAAAGUUUAAUAUAUGUUGAAUACAUAGGCUAUUUUCUAUACUAUAGCGAUUUAGAUUACUAACUGUUUUCAGUUUUUUUUUAAAAAAAAAUCGUAAUUAAAAUAAUAAACAUCAUAUUUAUUUAAUAUUGAAUUUUGCAGUUGCUACAUUUAUUAAAAAACUAUAUGUAAUUAAUACCUAACACAUUAUUACGAUCUACAGUUGUGAUAUUAUGAUUUAUUAGAUCAAUGACUAGAUUUUUCUGAUUAAUGUGAGAGCUCAUAGAAAAUGUUAGGUUAGUAUAGGUAUAGAUAUAGAUAGAUAGAUAGAUAGAUAGAUAGAUAGAGGGUUAAAAGCUAUUUUUCUUUGUGGUGGAGUUACGGACUGCAAAUCCAUGUCUUAGCUAAAUACAAAAGACGCCCAUUUUUUUUUAAAACAACGGCAGAGCUUGCCAUUUCACUGAAUAAAGAAGGGAGCAAUAUUUACAUGUAAGGAGAAAAGUAAUAUUUACAAAGGCGACCGGGCACUAAGGCAACAUCUCUGCUGAGCGUUUGGCUUCCCGCCGUAGCCCAAGCUUUUGCCUCAUCCUUUAUCUUUGCGAUGAGGUCGCAGUGCUUAACUCUUUGUUUCGGAAGAUUUGUCGGUUUCACUCGUUCCAAAUUUCCCAGGAGAUUAGGAGGAUUAAGGAUAUAAUUCCAAGUUUUGGUACAGUGUGGCAUGUGGCAAGAAAUUCCCACCAUUCAUGAACCGUGGUCGAUUGUGUCCAGCUUACCGGCGCCAUGGAUGCACAGGUUAUCCAACUGGCAAUGGCAUCCCAUAUUUUCUUGGUGUAUCUGCAUUGCAUUCCACCAACAGGUGUAUAGUAAUCUCGUCGGUGUGCCGACAUAGCGAGCAAACUCCAUUCUUCUGUCAGCCCCGGGUCGCUAGUCGGUCCGCCAUCCAAACCCUAUUUUGAAUGAUUAACCACGCAAAUGUCCAUAUCUUUGAUUUUGUGACGAACCCGUGCACCAUCCAACCGUGUCGGUGAGAAAGGUCGAAUGGAGCCCGUACUGACGACCCUGAUAGGUGAACAGUUGCACGGGGUUGCACCCGCGCGGUCAGUUCCAAACCCUCUAGUUCACCUUCUCCUCUAUAAGAGUAUAUACACAUGUAUAUAUAGUAUAAGAGCGCACGCGCCUAUAUAUAUAAUUUUUUUAGGGUGAAUAGCUAAUUUAGUCCCUCAAGUUUCAGUGAAGGCUUAAUUUGAUCCUUCACGUUUCAUUUUGUCUAUAUAGAUCCUUCAAAUAUUUGUUUUAGCUUGAAAUCAUUCUUGGGUCCACUUAAUAUGCCAUAUGGCUAUUUCUAGUCAAUAUUUCUAUUAGAAAAUGUCCUUUUUGCCCAUAAUUUAUAUACAUCUAUACACUAGAAAAUAGAAAGCCAACAUGAAUAAACAACAUUACAGAUCUACUUCCCAUUAUUUCAACAUGUGCACAUGAAACUUAAGCAAUUGCUAUCGUAUACACUUGCUAGUACAUAAUUUUUUUCGUUUUACAUAAUAUACUAUGUAUUAUCUAUAAAAAAUUCAAGCAUGCAAUUUCUCUCUUAUAUAUGUGAAUGAUGAGGGGUAUAAGUGUCAUUUAUGAAGAGAGUUGUUGGUUCAAGGAUAAGUUUGAACUAAAAUGAAAACUUGAAGGACUAAUAUGGAUAGAUUGAAACAUCAAGGACUAAACUGAGCCUCAGAUAAAACUUGCAGGACCACUUUGGCUAUUCACCCUUUAUUUAUGUAUAAAAAAUAUACAUCUAUACAGAAGUUUAUAUACGACAUAUACAAACUUUGUAUAUGACGUAGACAAAAUUUAUAUACAUGCGCAUUUAAAAAAUUUAAAAAACAUCACGUAUACAAAGUUCGUAUACAUAUAUAAAAAGUUUGUAUACGAGUGUAAACAAACUUUGUAUACACAUAUAUAAACUUUGUAUCUCGUACGUAUAGAAAACAAAAAAAACCCAAAAAAGGAAAAAAUAAAAAAAUACUGAAAAGAAAAAAAACCAAAGAAAACCGAAUAAAACAAAGAAAAAAAGUGAAAAAAAGUCCCACGCGCGGCGCGGCGUCCGCCGCCCUCCUCUCCGCGCGCGCCACCUGUCCAUCCGCGCGGAGGGAGGCGCGCGCGGACAUCCGCGAAUUAGCAAUCUCUUAACCUGGCAGCCAUAUCGCCCGCCGGUCAAACCCGCCCUCUUUGUUCGUCGACGGCUCGACCUCUUGUUGCUUGUGUCACCUCCUUUUGUCUUCUACCCGAGAUUUUCCAUAGAGAAAACGGCCCUCACCCACGGCCACAGCCACGGGCCGUAGGUGUCAGUCGUGUCACACACAAAAAAAAAAAAAGUUCCACCCACCCGUUGUCUUCGCAUUUCAACCCUUAAUAUCCGUUUGCCUAUAAAUACUCUCUCUGUAGGUACAUCUCUCUACCAUCUCUGUCGUCCAACCUCUUAGUUUCCUGCUUGGUUUUGAUCGAUUCAAGCUAGUAAACGCUGAUCAUGGUGAACGUUGCUCGCUUGGAUCAGGCUGACGGCGCUGCGUCCAAGAUCGCCACGGCGCGGGCGCUGGGGGCGUUCGGCCUCGCCACAGCCUCUCUGGCCAUCAAUCUGGCCGCGACACGCGGGGCACCGUCGUGCUUCGGUGACAGCGCCUGGUACUACCACCUCGCUCUCGUGGGUUCCUUCCUCUCCGGAGUGGCCCAGGUGGCCGCCGCCGUCUGGGUCGCCGACGACCCUCGCGGCCGCCAUGCCGUCGGCAAGAAAAUCAUGUACCCCUCUAUUGCACCCCUCCUCGUGGCCGUCGGCCUCACCGGAGCGGCUCUGCUCUGGUAAUAUUUCCAGUUUUCCACCUUGGUUCAUCUACACGUACCAACACCGACAUCGCCGCCUACCGCGCCAGCUUCUCCCCGCAGGAUCGGCGCGAAUGUAUCUGUUAACAACCCUCUCCUUCCAAACUCGGUAAUCUCAAGAACAAUCCAAUUCAAUACAAUCUCAGGAAAAUAGAAGAGGAAUUGAAGGAGAAGAAGUAGAGGAUGCUUCUAGAAGUGGCAGUGAGGAGGACCAUGGAGAGAGAGAAGGAUAGAGAUCGACGAGGUUCAACCGAACCAAGCCGCCGCCGCCGCCGUGGCCGAAGCCGCCGAUUCCUGAUCUGUUCGAUUCCCCUGGUAAGAGUUGUCCUGUUGUUUUGUAGCUUCACCUUGGACUGGCCUGGGCCAACAUUAGGAGAGUUGAUGGACUGGCCCAUUUGGCAGCCCAGCCAGGACCUUAACAGUAUCUUACCUGUUUGAUUUGUGUGAUGUUGCUUUCUUGAUGUUUGCUGUUUGGGUCAUCGAUCGUGCUUUUGUGUAUCACCUCGAGUAUCUAGUAUCUACCAUCAAUCAAUCACGCUGUUUCCCUCCACUGCCUGCUGUUGUUGUGUUGUUGAUCAAUGCUUGGAUUGAUGAAUAUGUGAUGCAAAUUUUGAGUCACUACGGUAUACUCAAAUCAAACAAAAAAAUCAGCUAAUUUGCAGAAGAGUGUAUUUGGAAUGUUGGAGUACCCCGCGAAUUGUGAAGCCGGUGGCGGCGCGGCGACCGGCGAUUAUGGUGUUUGUGAUCACUAAUUCAACAUCCACUUCAUCGCUGCCGCUGGCGGGGCUCCGGCGACGGUGCGCACCGUACGGCCGGCCCGCCGCCGCCGCCUUGUCCUCCCUUGCCCCUUGCCGCUGUCAUGUGAUGGCCAAAAGGGUUCUUUUUGGUGAUUUUUCUAUCCAGUUUUUUAAUCAAGAUUCUGAUCCAAUUGUUUCGAUUUUGGCUGAAAGGUGGGCCAUAAGUGGACCCCACAUGGCCAUAGGAGAGUACUACUAAUAGUAGGAGAUUACUGGAGAAAGAGAGGAGACAUCACAGGGUCCCCGAGACUGGGAAAUUUAACUAUUUGUAACUCUCACAAUUAACGAUUUGCCACAUCCUAUCUAUCACAUGUAGACUCUUAUGUGUCUAUGAUAUGUGGGUCUAAUAGUAAAUUGUUAAGCUCCACUGGUAAGAGUGGCAAAUAUUUAAAAGCCCCGCGGAGACUUGCGGCUGCGGCGGCCGAGAGGGCCACGGCCAUGGCGACCUCGCCUUCGCCCUCGCCCUCGCCCAAAAAGUCUCUAUCUCGCUGCUCCGGCUUCCUAACUACAUCCUCUUACCUCCUCUCUGCCUCAAUUCGCUAGAUCUUGUGCAGCGGUGAGGAAACGACGGCGCGCCAAAUUUUGCUCGGCCACGAUCCGAUCACUGUCGCCGGAAGCCGUCCUCCGGCCACCCCCUCGCCGUGAACCUGCGCCGGCGGACCUCGGCCAGGAUCUGGUCGGCAUCGCGGCUGUGGUAUUGCAAACAGAUUUGUGGAUGCUAUGAUGGCCGUGCGCCGUUCAGCCGUUGACUUGUAAGAACACGGCAGCCACCUCUUCUGAUUUUAGUGGUUCAUACAGGUUAUCAUCUGCUUGCCCUUACAAUUACAUAUGGUUACAUACUUACAUGCAUUUUGGUGGCUGUGGUCAUGUUGUGAAAGAAAGACAUCAGUCAACAGGUGCUUAAGGGAAUUUCACAGUGUGAGCGAUAACCUAUCAGAAUUUGAUUUGAUAGGGCAGUUUGGUAUGUUGUGUGAAAGCUCUUUAAACAAUUGUGCAGUUGUUUGGUGCAUCAUUUUCUGUCUUCUGGUAAUUGUGAAUCACUGGCAUAUAUAUUGAGGAACCCAACUUUUGUAUAUUUGCCAGUUUCUGUAUUUUUCACAUGUGGAGAGACUGGUGUGUAUGACAGUUUUCCUGGCAUGUCAUGUAAUAAUCGGAAGAUUUGUUAUUAGGAGAGGGAUGCUCAAUCUCCUUUCUAAUAUUAGGCUUUUACCGUUGCUUGUGUGCAACCAUCAGCCCUUUUCAGACUAGUUAUAACCAUACCAUUUUGUAUAUCAAAAUUUAUGACUAAAUUGCACUAAAUAUUCGUGAUUUAGUGCAUUGUGAUGCUGUGACUGAAUCUGAAAAUUUGGCAGCGAGAAUGAAUAUCAAGUAAUGUUGUGCCGAUUUUGCUAUA